rnacentral:rRNA from 1 species
GACGUAGGUGGCGAACGUUAUCCGGAAUUAUUGGGCGUAAAGGGUGCGUAGGCGGCAUGAUAAGUUAUUGGCGGCAAAUCGAGGCUCAACCUCGUGGAAACUGAUAAUACUGUCUUGCUUGAGUGCAGAAGAGGUUAACGGAACUCCAUGUGGAGCGGUAAAAAUGUGUAGAUAUAUGGAAGAACAUCAAUAACGGCGAAGGCAGUUAACUAUUCUGUUACUGACGUUGAGGCACGAAAAGCGUGGGGGAGCAAAAAGG